UACGAAGGGGGCUAGCGUUGUUCGGAAUCACUGGGCGUAAAGCGCACGCAGGCGGGUCGUUAAGUCAGGGGUGAAAUCCUGGAGCUCAACUCCAGAACUGCCUUUGAUACUGAGAAGCUUGAGUCCGGGAGAGGUGAGUGGAACUGCGAGUGUAGAGGUGAAAUUCAUAGAUAUUCGCAAGAACACCAGUGGCGAAGGCGGCUCACUGGCCCGGUACUGACGCUGAGGUGCGAAAGCGUGGGGAGCAAACAGG
rnacentral:rRNA from 1 species